ensembl:lncRNA
AUGUGGUCUUCCCGCCGUCACUGUCCGGCAGGGCGCUCCCUUCAUCCUGAGAUCGCGCUGCCCUGCCUUCUUGCGCAGCCUGCCCCUGGGUAGAGUCCUACACAGCGUGGGCAUCUCUGUUUCAACCACACUGCAUGCAGAGGGACACCAGGAUCAGUCCCUGCUCUCUGCCUCUGCGGGGGAAGAACAGAGGCCCUGCCCUUGGCCCCUGGCCUCCUCGCCCCACCCAGGAACCGCCUGACAGGGUCUCCUCCUGGUGGGGUAGAAGCCACCCCAGCCGUGGAGUGCAGGCGCCUUCUCCAACCAAACUGGGGCAGUGCCUGGUGCCAGGUAUGCGGGACAGGGGAUAAAUAUCUGGCCAAGAGAGAGAAGCACCCAGGGCUCCUUUCCAGUGCGCCCUGCCCUCCACCCUGGACCCUUCAGAGAUCAUCUCCAAGGCACAGCAAUGUGAGGACUCUGGCCACAGCCGCCAAACCAUCCUGCAGGGCUCAUUCCAGGCUCCUGCCCUGCAAGGUGCCAUGGCCCAUGCAGCCCCAGCUGCAGAAGGUGAGUUUCUGACAGCAGUGGCUCCCCAGGCUGCAAAGGCUACUGGGGUGAGCACACAGAGUGGCCACAGCCUGGUCCAAGAAGCCUCUGGCAGCCCCUGCAGCCAGCAUGGAAGGUGGAGCCUGGGCCAGGUAGGUCCUAGG